rnacentral:rRNA from 1 species
CACGUAGGGUGCGAGCGUUGUCCGGAAUUAUUGGGCGUAAAGAGCUCGUAGGCGGUGUGUCGCGUCGGCCGUGAAAACCUGCAGCUUAACUGUGGGCUUGCGGUCGAUACGGGCAUCACUGGAGUUCGGCAGGGGAGACUGGAAUUCCUGGUGUAGCGGUGAAAUGCGCAGAUAUCAGGAGGAACACCAGUGGCGAAGGCGGAGACCUGGGCCAAUACUGACGCUGAGGUGCGAAAGCGUGGGGAGCAAACAGG